rnacentral:rRNA from 1 species
AACGAACGCUGGCGGCAUGCCUAACACAUGCAAGUCGAACGAGACCUUCGGGUCUAGUGGCGCACGGGUGCGUAACGCGUGGGAACCUGCCCUUAGGUUCGGAAUAACUCCCCGAAAGGGGUGCUAAUACCGGAUAAUGUCUUCGGACCAAAGAUUUAUCGCCUUUGGAUGGGCCCGCGUUGGAUUAGCCAGUUGGUAGGGUAAAAGCCUACCAAGGCGACGAUCCAUAGCUGGUCUGAGAGGAUGAUCAGCCACACUGGGACUGAGACACGGCCCAGACUCCUACGGGAGGGAGCAGUGGGGAAUAUUAGAGAAGGGGCGAAAGCCUGAUCCAGCAAUGCCGCGUGAGUGAUGAAGGCCUUAGGGUUGUAAAGCUCUUUUACCCGGGAUGAUAAUGACAGUACCGGGAGAAUAAGCACCGGCUAACUCCGUG